rnacentral:rRNA from 1 species
CUUUCCUUGACGACGACUGGCGCACGGGUGAGUAACGCGUAUCCAACCUUCCCAUGACCACGGGAUAACCCGUUGAAAGACGGCCUAAUACCGUAUGACGUCGUUUGCCGACAUCGAAAGACGACCAAAGGUUUGGCGGUGAUGGAUGGGGAUGCGUCUGAUUAGCUUGUUGGCGGGGUAACGGCCCACCAAGGCUACGAUCAGUAGGGGUUCUGAGAGGAAGGUCCCCCACAUUGGAACUGAGACACGGUCCAAACUCCUACGGGAGGCAGCAGGG